UCAAAAGAUCCAUCCAAAAACACAGGUCUUUGCAAAAUCGUAAGACCAUGUACGGAGCUAACGCUUGCCUAGUGUCGAAAGGUUAAGGAAGUUGGUGACCUGAUGAUAGGGGAGCUGACGACCGAAGCCCGGGUGAAUAGUGACUAUAACUAUAAUGGUCAUAAGGUAGUGAAAUUCUUUGUCGGGUAAAUUUUGACCCACAUAAAAGGCAUAACGAUCUGA
rnacentral:ncRNA from 1 species